AGCGAACGCUGGCGGCAGGCCUAACACAUGCAAGUCGAACGAACUCUUCGGAGUUAGUGGCGGACGGGUGAGUAACACGUGGGAACGUGCCUUUUGGUUCGGAAUAACUCAGGGAAACUUGUGCUAAUACCGAAUGUGCCCUUCGGGGGAAAGAUUUAUCGCCAUUAGAGCGGCCCGCGUCUGAUUAGCUAGUUGGUGAGGUAACGGCUCACCAGGGCGACGAUCAGUAGCUGGUCUGAGAGGAUGACCAGCCACACUGGGACUGAGACACGGCCCAGACUCCUACGGGAGGCAGCAGUGGGGAAUCUUGCGCAAUGGGCGAAAGCCUGACGCAGCCAUGCCGCGUGAAUGAUGAAGGUCUUAGGAUUGUAAAAUUCUUUCACCGGGGACGAUAAUGACGGUACCCGGAGAAGAAGCCCCGGCUAACUUCGUG
rnacentral:rRNA from 1 species